GACAGAGGUGCCAAGCGUUAGGCGGAAUCACUGGGCUUAAAGCGUGUGUAGGUGGACUGGUAAGUACUUUGUGAAAUCCCACGGCUUAACCGUGGAACUGCUUGGUAUACUGCUGGUCUUGAGCAACCUAGGGGCGAGCGGAACAAAUGGUGGAGCGGUGAAAUGCGUAGAUAUCAUUUGGAACGCCAAUGGUGAAAACAGCUCGCUAGGGGUUCGCUGACACUGAGACACGAAAGCCAGGGGAGCAAACGGG
rnacentral:rRNA from 1 species